rnacentral:rRNA from 1 species
AGCUCCAAUAGCGUAUAUUAAAGUUGUUGCAGUUAAAAAGCUCGUAGUUGAAUUUCUGAUAGAAGGGAGCGGUUCCGCAUUCUUGCGGAUACUUGCUCGUCUUCCGUCAUCCUUGGGCUUAGUCUCGCUGAUAUUAACUUAUCGGCGUGUACGAUGCCCAUCGUUUACUGUGAGCAAAUUAGAGUGUUCAAAGCAGGCAUAUGCCGUUGAAUAUAUUAGCAUGGAAUAAUAAGAUAGGACUUUUCGACUAUUUUGUUGGUUUGCGUUGUGAAGUAAUGAUUAAGAGGGACAGUUGUGGGUAUUCGUAUUCAGAUGUCAGAGGUGAAAUUCUUAGAUUAUCGGAAGACGAACGACUGCGAAAGCAUUUACCAAGGAUGUUU